UACGAAGGGGGCUAGCGUUGCUCGGAAUUACUGGGCGUAAAGCGCACGUAGGCGGCUCUUUAAGUCGGGGGUGAAAUCCUGGAGCUCAACUCCAGAACUGCCUUCGAUACUGUAGAGCUUGAGUUCGGGAGAGGUGAGUGGAACUGCGAGUGUAGAGGUGAAAUUCGUAGAUAUUCGCAAGAACACCAGUGGCGAAGGCGGCUCACUGGUCCGGUACUGACGCUGAGGUGCGAAAGCGUGGGGAGCAAACAGG
rnacentral:rRNA from 1 species